AUUGUGACUCUCAUUGGAUCAGCUGUUUUCACAGUUCAGUAACACAGUUUGUGAUUGGUUUACACAGUCAAUAUGGCUGCCAUGAAUUUCAUUCAUCAGAACACGGCAAAGGUUUUUUCGAUCAUAAAUAACUGUUUAAUAAGGACGCUAAACAAGGAAGUAUAGUUUCCGUGGUGGAUUACACAGCCUCUGGAGGGAUUAUAAUCCUUAACGACGACUCGUUGUGAAGACAAAACAGAGCGCAGCAGGACAGUUUUUUAAAUGCUGGUGAGGUCAGCCUCCAUGAUUUACACAGCUCUGCUGGACAGAAGGUGAAUCCGUCAUCACAAGUAAAGAAGAGAGAGACUCUUUUCUCCAGAUGUGAACCAGGCUCCAGUCUGUAUGUGAGUGCAGGUGUGUGCAAAAGCUGUGAUGAGGAUGAGUUGGAUGAGGAUGAAGGCAAAUCCUCCCACCACACCAACAUAAUGCCAAGCUGAGGGAAGAAAGGGAGAGAAAGAAGAAACAUCAUCCUCUGAUUUAUUUCAGGGAAGUGAGAUAUAAAAAGAAUGGAGGAGAGAGAGUUUAAAUCAUGAAUCAGCUCUGAUAUCAGGCUUGUAUCACCAUCAGAUUUAUUGUUCCCAAACAAAGUGAAAUCUAACUUCAGAGAUUUAUGGUCCAAUAAUUCACAGCAGUCAACCUGGUGAGUAUUUUCAGGAGUGAGUCUCUGCUGCCCUCUAGCAGGAUCAGAGAAACGUGCGCCAGCAACAUCAUCACCACCACAGUAGGGAUUUAUUUUCAGAUGAGUCCCAGCAGACUGAUGGUGAACAUCCUCUGCUCAGUUUCUCACCGUGCAGGAAGGAUUCUGUUGGGAUGAAGAAGGCAGCGGUGCACAUCCCAAGCAGGGUGAUGAACUUUAAGAACCAGAAACUGAAACACAGCAAACAGAAACAGGAAACAGACUUUCAUUUCAAAAGUCGAACAUUCAGACUACAACUCAAAAUUUCCUUUUCAAAUUUUCAUAAGAUGCAGUCUCUGUCGUAGGUUUCAUCGACUCUGUACGCACUCAUCUAUGUGGGCUCUUUAGUUAAAUAAAAUAAGUCUGGCUGCUACAAUAAAACCAUUUAAGUCUGUCUGGUCUUUAUAACGACAUCUGAGGUUUCCAGCAGGGCACUGGGUCAUUCAUUCCCUGACCUGACCCUUCCCUCUUCAGACCACUAAGAGCUGUAACCUUUGCCAAAGACCCUGAAACCUUUCGCCAUGGCACCGCUAAGACUCUUGUGAGUAGAUUUAUACCAGAGAGGACCAGCAACCCAGUCUGUCGAAUCCUAAUCCGAGCUACGUCACAGCUCUAAUCAAGUGCGCCUCGGUGGAAAGUGUGACAACAAAGAGCUUUAAAUAGAACAGGAGGCCAGGUCAGGUGAGCAGAGGGAGAAAACCACUUUCUCCUUACACACUGUAGUGAAGUAUUUAAAGAUGUGUAUAGUUCAGGAGCAGCAUGGAAACAUUUCUAAAUGUAAUCAGGUCCAUUCUAAAUAGGGAAAUUACAUAAAAGUCUUUGUAACCUGAUUGUUAAUUCAGAGAGAUUUAGUACUUUUUUUGCCUUUCCAAGCUUCAUUUGGGAUUUUUUAGGACAGGAAGAUUGAGUGAAUGUGUGCAAGGAUUAAUCUGAGAGAAGUUUGCUCUCAUUUUGUGAUUGAUUUUUGGGGCUACAUUCUGGAAUUUUAAGUUUAUUUUCUCUUCUAAAAAUGUUGGAGGGAGGUGAUAUUUUCAGCUCUUUAUGCCUUUCUUUAGGCUGGCUGU